CAGAGGGUGCAAGCGUUGUUCGGAAUUAUUGGGCGUAAAGCGCGUGUAGGCGGCUUAGCAAGUCGGGCGUGAAAGCCCUCGGCUCAACCGAGGAAGUGCACCCGAAACUGCUGAGCUUGAGUGCCGGAGAGGAUGGCGGAAUUCCCCAAGUAGAGGUGAAAUUCGUAGAUAUGGGGAGGAACACCGGUGGCGAAGGCGGCCAUCUGGACGGUAACUGACGCUGAGACGCGAAAGCGUGGGGAGCUAACAGGAUUAGAUACCCUGGUAGUCCACGCCGUAAACGAUGAGAACUAGAUGUCGCGGGUGUUGACCCCUGCGGUGUCGCAGCUAACGCAUUAAGUUCUCCGCCUGGGAAGUACGGUCGCAAGAUUA
rnacentral:rRNA from 1 species